UUCUGUAAGCCUGUGAAGGUGUGUCGUGAGGCAUGCUGGAGGUAUCAGAAGUGCGAAUGCUGACAUAAGUAACGAUAAAGCGGGUGAAAAGCCCGCUCGCCGGAAGACCAAGGGUUCCUGUCCAACGUUAAUCGGGGCAGGGUGAGUCGACCCCUAAGGCGAGGCCGAAAGGCGUAGUCGAUGGGAAACGGGUUAAUAUUCCCGUACUUGGUGUUACUGCGAAGGGGGGACGGAGAAGGCUAUGUUGGCCGGGCGACGGUUGUCCCGGUUUAAGCGUGUAGGUGUGUGUUCCAGGUAAAUCCGGUUCACUUUAACACUGAGGCGUGAUGACGAGGCACUACGGUGCUGAAGCAACAAAUGCCCUGCUUCCAGGAAAAGCCUCUAAGCAUCAGGUAACAUCAAAUCGUACCCCAAACCGACACAGGUGGUCAGGUAGAGAAUACCAAGGCGCUUGAGAGAACUCGGGUGAAGGAACUAGGCAAAAUGGUGCCGUAACUUCGGGAGAAGGCACGCUGACACGUAGGUGAAGUGAUUUACUCAUGGAGCUGAAGUCAGUCGAAGAUACCAGCUGGCUGCAACUGUUUAUUAAAAACACAGCACUGUGCAAACACGAAAGUGGACGUAUACGGUGUGACGCCUGCCCGGUGCCGGAAGGUUAAUUGAUGGGGUCAGCGCAAGCGAAGCUCCUGAUCGAAGCCCCGGUAAACGGCGGCCGUAACUAUAACGGUCCUAAGGUAGCGAAAUUCCUUGUCGGGUAAGUUCCGACCUGCACGAAUGGCGUAAUGAUGGCCAGGCUGUCUCCACCCGAGACUCAGUGAAAUUGAACUCGCUGUGAAGAUGCAGUGUACCCGCGGCAAGACGGAAAGACCCCGUGAACCUUUACUAUAGCUUGACACUGAACAUUGAGCCUUGAUGUGUAGGAUAGGUGGGAGGCUUUGAAGCGUGGACGCCAGUCUGCGUGGAGCCGACCUUGAAAUACCACCCUUUAAUGUUUGAUGUUCUAACGUGGACCCGUGAUCCGGGUUGCGGACAGUGUCUGGUGGGUAGUUUGACUGGGGCGGUCUCCUCCUAAAGAGUAACGGAGGAGCACGAAGGUUGGCUAAUCCUGGUCGGACAUCAGGAGGUUAGUGCAAUGGCAUAAGCCAGCUUGACUGCGAGCGUGACGGCGCGAGCAGGUGCGAAAGCAGGUCAUAGUGAUCCGGUGGUUCUGAAUGGAAGGGCCAUCGCUCAACGGAUAAAAGGUACUCCGGGGAUAACAGGCUGAUACCGCCCAAGAGUUCAUAUCGACGGCGGUGUUUGGCACCUCGAUGUCGGCUCAUCACAUCCUGGGGCUGAAGUAGGUCCCAAGGGUAUGGCUGUUCGCCAUUUAAAGUGGUACGCGAGCUGGGUUUAGAACGUCGUGAGACAGUUCGGUCCCUAUCUGCCGUGGGCGCUGGAGAACUGAGGGGGGCUGCUCCUAGUACGAGAGGACCGGAGUGGACGCAUCACUGGUGUUCGGGUUGUCAUGCCAAUGGCACUGCCCGGUAGCUAAAUGCGGAAGAGAUAAGUGCUGAAAGCAUCUAAGCACGAAACUUGCCCCGA
rnacentral:rRNA from 1 species